rnacentral:rRNA from 1 species
UACGGAGGGUGCAAGCGUUAUCCGGAUUCACUGGGUUUAAAGGGCGCGUAGGUGGGUCUGUAAGUCAGUAGUGAAAUCUCCGGGCUUAACCUGGAAACUGCCAUUGAUACUAUAGGUCUUGAAUAUUGUGGAGGUUAGCGGAAUAUGUCAUGUAGCGGUGAAAUGCUUAGAUAUGACAUAGAACACCAAUUGCGAAGGCAGCUGGCUACGCAUAUAUUGACACUGAGGCUCGAAAGCGUGGGGAUCAAACAGG